AAAAAGGUAAACCAUGGGUUUCUGUGUCCAACUUUGACUGUCCGUCUUAUAUGAUUUUUUUUAUAAUUCGUAUUUUCAUUGAUGUUAGAUGAUAAAACAUGAUUAAUAUUUUAUGCGUGACUUGUCUUUUUAAUUUUUUUUAUAAUUUUUUCAAAUAAGACGGACGGUCAAACGUUUGGCACGAAAACUAGGGUUUGUCUUUUU
rfam:Oryza sativa (indica cultivar-group) chromosome 8, whole genome shotgun sequence.